GGAUGUGAGCACAUCUGGCUGCGACACCUGUCAUCCCAGUGAUCACCAGGCUUGCUGCAUCUGCUCUGGCUGGCCCAGGGGUGUCCCCAUCCCCUUUCACCACUCCAUGUGUGUCCCUCCCAAAGCUGAGCACUGCAGGAGAGAACGGCCUUGCGCAGUUGGAGGAUGACUGUUUCUUAAGCCAAACAUAUUGGAGCAGGCGUGCCUCCUGCUAUGACCUCCAAAAGCUCAGGUUAGCUGCUGUUGUUGGUAGGGGUAGAAAGGGGGAAUCGCUGUUUACUGCACCUAGAGUUCAACCUAGGAAAUGAAAAAAGUGUUAAAGAUGUGCUGUACUGCACUGUGUUU
rnacentral:snRNA from 1 species